rnacentral:lncRNA from 10 species
GAAUGAGACCAGGCUGGUAAACUCUGAUGAGGAGAAAGUCUGGAGCACUGGGCCUGGAAUGGGAGGGCAGCCUGGGCCUGGAGGGGCUGCCUCAGAAGCAGCCGAAGCAGCAGCCAGAGCCGGCGAGAGGGAGAUGGCAGGAAGCAGGGAGGUAAACUUGUCCCGCUGCCCACCUGGGCAGACUCAAAAGCCAUUAGGUUUCCCAGAGCAGCAGGCUUGGUGAGAGAUGCAUCUUGUCUGCUGCCAGAGGGGAGGUCUGGCCAGGAAGACAGCCAGGAGUCAGAUCUCCCAGCUGCAGAGCUCUUAGGGGAGAGCUAUGCGCCAGACCUCAAGCCCCCUGGCGGAGCCAGCUUCCCAGGAAUCCGACCCCACCCUUGGCCUCGCGCCUCUCUGCCUCAUGCUGGUGCUCUUCUUCCUUUCCAUCCAAUCUGGGCUCUCCCUCUCGGCUGCCUUCGCACCGUGCUGUGGAAGCCAUGGCCCCCGCUCCCCGGGAAAACGCAAGAGAUGGCUCCUUGGGGACUGCGCAGAGAAGAGUGAAGGGAAAGAUGGUGUCAGAACUUCCUGGGUCCCUCUGUCUAAAACCUCUCAAUAAAACCUCAUUCCACCCUUAUCUCCAACAAUCUUUCCCCCUUCAAAUCCACUCUUGCUUUUGUAUUUACUUUGUAAACAGCUGAGGACCUUCAGCUCUUAGGUUUCCAAUUAUGACACAAUUUUAUUUUUCUAGUAAC